UUGGAGGGCAAGUCUGGUGCCAGCAGCCGCGGUAAUUCCAGCUCCAAUAGCGUAUAUUAAAGUUGCUGCAGUUAAAAAGCUCGUAGUUGAAUUUCGGGACCAUCAUGUCGGUCGUGCCUCGGUACGUACUGGUAUUGUUGGUUUCUCCCUUCUGACGAACCAUGAUGUCAUUUAUUUGGUGUUGUGGGGAAUCAGGACUGUUACUUUGAAAAAAUUAGAGUGUUUAAAGCAGGCUCACGCUUGAAUACAUUAGCAUGGAAUAAUGAAAUAGGACGUUCGAUCCUAUUUUGUUGGUUUCUAGGAUUGACGUAAUGAUUAAUAGGGAUAGUUGGGGGCAUUAGUAUUCAAUUGUCAGAGGUGAAAUUCUUGGAUUUAUUGAAGACUAACUACUGCGAAAGCAUUUGCCAAGGAUGUUUUCAUUAAUCAAGAACGAAAGUUAGGGGAUCGAAGACGAUCAGAUACCGUCGUAGUCUUAACCAUAAACUAUGCCGACUAGGGAUCGGAUGAUGUUAAUUUUUUAAUGACUCAUUCGGCGCCUUACGGGAAACCAAAGUGUUUGGGUUC
rnacentral:rRNA from 1 species